GCUGUGAUGGCUGAGUGGUUAAGGUGUUGGAUUAGAAAUCCAAUAGUGUUUCCCUGUGUGGGUUCAAAUCCUGCUAGCCACG
rnacentral:tRNA from 1 species